GCUCACUGGCAUAUUGACUGUGGCUGGACACAUGAAAGAACCAAGAAACGCAAAGGUGACAAUGGCAAUCAGAUGUUUAAUAACUGUCAUCUCGAAGUCAUGCAACGUGGA